ACCUGCGGAAGGAUCAUUAUUGAAUUCUAAGGAGGGGGGAGACUGUCGCUGGCCCUCGGGCAUGUGCACGUCUUCCUUUCUCUCAUACACACACCUGUGCACCUGUUGUAGGUCCUCGAAAGAGGAGCUAUGUUUUUCACAUCACACCCCGUCGUAUGUCUAUAGAAUGUGUUGAAAACGUCGACCUGUUUGACAGGCCGGCGGACAAUAAAAUUAUACAACUUUCAGCAACGGAUCUCUUGGCUCUCGCAUCGAUGAAGAACGCAGCGAAUUGCGAUAAGUAAUGUGAAUUGCAGAUUUUCAGUGAAUCAUCGAAUCUUUGAACGCACCUUGCGCUCCUUGGUAUUCCGAGGAGCAUGCCUGUUUGAGUGUCAUCGAAUUCUCAACCAUGUCUUGAUUUAUUUCGAGGCAUGGCUUGGAGUUGGGGGUUGCUGGCGGCGAAAUGCGGUCGGCUCUCCUGAAAUGCAUUAGCAAAGGGUGGCAAGUCUUGRACAUGCACGGCCUUCGACGUGAUAAUGAUCGUCGUGGCUGGAKUGUC
rnacentral:rRNA from 1 species